GAUGAAGAACGUAGCGAAAUGCGAUAAGUAAUGUGAAUUGCAGAAUUCAGUGAAUCAUCGAAUCUUUGAACGCACAUUGCGCCCGCCAGUAUUCUGGCGGGCAUGCCUGUUCGAGCGUCAUUACAACCCUCAGGCCCCCGGGCCUGGCGUUGGGGAUCGGCGGAAGCCCCCUGUGGGCACACGCCGUCCCUCAAAUACAGUGGCGGUCCCGCCGCAGCUUCCAUUGCGUAGUAGCUAACACCUCGCAACUGGAGAGCGGCGCGGCCAUGCCGUAAAACACCCAACUUCUGAAUGUUGACCUCGAAUCAGGUAGGAAUACCCGGUGAACUUAAGCAUAUCAAUAAGCGGAGGA
rnacentral:misc_RNA from 1 species